AUUGAACGCUGGCGGCAGGCCUAACACAUGCACGUCGAACGAGUGGCGGACGGGUGAGUAAUGUCUGGGAAACUGCCUGAUGGAGGGGUCUAACUACUGGAAACGGUAGCUAAUACCGCAUACCAUCGGAUGUUCCCAGAGUGGAUUAGCUAGUAGGUGGGGUAACGGCUCACCUAGGCGACGCUCCCUAGCUGGUCUGAGAGGAUGACCAGCCACACUGGAACUGAGACACGGUCCAGACUCCUACGGGAGGCAGCAGUGGGGAAUAUUGAACAAUGGGCGCAAGCCUGAUGCAGCCAUGCCGCGUGUAUGAAGAAGGCCGUCGGGUUGUAAAGUACUUGCAGCGGGGAGGCGUUACCCGCAGAAGAAGCACCGGCUAACUCCGUGCCAGCAGCCGCGGUAAUUC
rnacentral:rRNA from 1 species